UCUUGCCACAUUUUCUUAUUUGUGUUUCUGGUUUCAGUUGUGUGGAUGACAAGUAUAGUGGCCGCACAAGAAAGGAAGACGUGCUCAGAUAUUUGGGGACAAGGACAAAGGAAGACGUGCUCAGAUAUUUGGGCUGAUGAAGAUUGCAAAAGAGGCAACUUUUUUAGUGAUUGUCGCAGCAAUUGUCAACAAAAAUAUGGUUAUUAUUGUAGCAUAAGUGGAACUUGCUUAAAACCUCAACCCUUGUGUGAGUGCAAGUAUGUAUGUUAAAACUUAAAAGUAAUAAUGAGGUGGUUAUUUAUGUAAAAAUAUUUUUUAUGUGAAAAUAAUUGCUGAGAUUUCGAUAUGUGUUAUGUUAAGUAAUUUAAUCAAUUAUAUUAUUUCUUUAAAUAUUUCUCAGCUAUCAUUUUUACAUAAAAAAAAAAAUAUUUUUAUACGAAUAAUUGUCGAAAAAUAAUUCUUUGGAAACUCACUUGAAAAGGGAUGGUUUCUGAAGUUUAAAGUUUAAAGUUUCUUUCUCUAUCCUUUGUUUAUCAAAAGAAUUAAAAGUAAAAAAAAACCCUAAUCAUAAGUUAUUAAUAAAUAAAGAAGCUUCUUUGCUGUUGAAAAAAGCAAAAGAAGAAUUGAAACUUA